rnacentral:snoRNA from 1 species
UUAAAUGAUGCUGAUUUCAAUUUAUAACUUUCGUUCUACUGAAUUUUUGAUCAAACGAUCUUGUAGACACUUUAUUAUUUUUACUGAUA